UCACAAGUGGAGAAGCUGGGGCCCCAGCAUUGGCAGUUGUUAAAGCUCCCUGGGUGGACCCACCGUGCGGAAGGUGGGAGAAGCAGCAAACGCAAUUCUUAGUCUCUAAGUGUGGUCCCCAGGCCGGCAGCAGUGAGAGUUUGUUGGAAACACAGACUCUCAGGAGCUACUGAAUCGGAAUGUUGUGUCUUCCACAAGCUCCCAGGCCGUGUGCUUCGGUGCCAGGAAGAUCAGGCUGCAGGGGGCGUUGCGCUGGUUCCUGGCAGGGACUCAUUCUUUCACCCAGGAUGAAGUGCGGUGGCAGGACCAUAGCUCACUGCAGCCUCAAUCAACUCCCGGAGCUCAAGCAAUCCUCCCACCUCAGCCUCCCAAGUAGCUGGGACCACAGGCAUGUGGCACCACACCCAGCUAAUAUUUUGUAUUUUUUGUAGAGAUGGAGGCAGCGGGGUGGGUGGGUCUCGCCAGUUGCCCAGGCUGGUUACGAACUCCUGAACUCAAGCAAUCUGCCUGUCUUGGUCUCCCAAAGUGCUGAGAUUACCGAUGUGAGCCACUGUGUCUGGCCACAAGUAUUAUUACUAAUAUACCAUAAUUAUUUAUGUCUGUAUUUCUUUAUAUCACAGGACUAACACAUGUGUAUGGGAUAAUCUUUUAAACCUGAUGCUUUUCUGCCCCUCUGUAUCUCCUGAUUUUUCUCAGUUAUGUGACUGUGUUUAAACUUCCAACACUUAUAUCAUUUAGAAGUUUCUCUGAUGAAAAGCCUCCCAUGAUUCCUAGUCUCAUGCCCUGGAAAAAACACUUUUAACAAUUUCUGUGUCUGCUUCUCGAUUGCCCAGCCUUACUUGGUGUCUGCUGAUGCUCGUUUAGAAGAAUUAAUAAUCCAGUAGACUUACCUACCAGGUGCUAAGCAAACCUCUUGUUCUUUUGUUGUUGUUGUAUAGAUGAAGGCUUCCUAUGUUGCCCAGGCUGGUCUCAAACGUCUGGCCUCCCGUCCUUAUGCGCCAGGACAACAGGACUGAGCCACCGCACCAUCCAAGUCUCUUGCUUUUUAAUAGCUUUCUUAUUUUUCUUUUAUUCAUCCAGGGGUUACUUUGUGAAUUUAAAUAAUUCACUUAAAAUAACAUUUUGAAAUUUAUCAACUUUAUCUACUGUUGUAUGAGAUAUGAGGAACUUAGCAAAUGGACUCAUUCUUCAUUUUCUUCUUCCUCUCUCUCCUGAUUUUUCCAAGUUAUGUUAUUAUUUUUAAAUUUCCAAAGCUUGUGUCAUUUAGAUUGUUCUAUAAAUAUAAUUAAGCAAUCAGUGGUUGUCUAAGUGUGGUUUCUUCUUAAAAUGUAUACUCAAUAAAUACAUUUCCAGUAUCAUGAAUAUAUAAAUACUUUUCACUCUAGG
rnacentral:lncRNA from 10 species